rnacentral:rRNA from 1 species
GAUUAUGACGUGCUUGCCCUGAAUGAGAUUUUAACACGAAGUGAGUGGCGGACGGGUGAGUAACACGUGGGUAACCUGCCCAGAAGCAGGGGAUAACACCUGGAAACAGAUGCUAAUACCGUAUAACAGAGAAAACCGCCUGGUUUUCUUUUAAAAGAUGGCUCUGCUAUCACUUCUGGAUGGACCCGCGGCGCAUUAGCUAGUUGGUGAGGUAACGGCUCACCAAGGCGAUGAUGCGUAGCCGACCUGAGAGGGUAAUCGGCCACAUUGGGACUGAGACACGGCCCAGACUCCUACGGGAGGCAGCAGUAGGGAAUCUUCCACAAUGGACGCAAGUCUGAUGGAGCAACGCCGCGUGAGUGAAGAAGGGUUUCGGCUCGUAAAGCUCUGUUGUUAAAGAAGAACGUGGGUGAGAGUAACUGUUCACCCAGUGACGGUAUUUAACCAGAAAGCCACGGCUAACUACGUGCCAGCAGCCGCGGUAAUACGUAGGUGGCAAGCGUUAUCCGGAUUUAUUGGGCGUAAAGCGAGCGCAGGCGGUCUUUUAAGUCUAAUGUGAAAGCCUUCGGCUCAACCGAAGAAGUGCAUUGGAAACUGGGAGACUUGAGUGCAGAAGAGGACAGUGGAACUCCAUGUGUAGCGGUGAAAUGCGUAGAUAUAUGGAAGAACACCAGUGGCGAGCGGCUGUCUGGUCUGUAACUGACGCUGAGCUCGAAAGCAUGGGUAGCGACAGGAUAGAUACCCUGGUAGUCCAUGCCGUAAACGAUGAUUACUAAGUGUUGGAGGGUUUCCGCCCUUCAGUGCUGCAGCUAACGCAUUAAGUAAUCCGCCUGGGGAGUACGACCGCAAGGUUGAAACUCAAAAGAAUUGACGGGGGCCCGCACAAGCGGUGGAGCAUGUGGUUUAAUUCGAAGCUACGCGAAGAACCUUACCAGGUCUUGACAUCUUCUGCCAACCUAAGAGAUUAGGCGUUCCCUUCGGGGACAGAAUGACAGGUGGUGCAUGGUUGUCGUCAGCUCGUGUCGUGAGAUGUUGGGUUAAGUCCCGCAACGAGCGCAACCCUUAUUACUAGUUGCCAGCAUUCAGUUGGGCACUCUAGUGAGACUGCCGGUGACAAACCGGAGGAAGGUGGGGACGACGUCAAAUCAUCAUGCCCCUUAUGACCUGGGCUACACACGUGCUACAAUGGAUGGUACAACGAGUUGCGAAACCGCGAGGUUUAGCUAAUCUCUUAAAACCAUUCUCAGUUCGGACUGUAGGCUGCAACUCGCCUACACGAAGUCGGAAUCGCUAGUAAUCGCGGAUCAGCAUGCCGCGGUGAAUACGUUCCCGGGCCUUGUACACACCGCCCGUCACACCAUGAGAGUUUGUAACACCCAAAGCCGGUGGGGUAACCUUUUAGGAGCUAGCCGUCUAAGGUGACAGAUGAU